rnacentral:lncRNA from 1 species
CAGCCGCCAGCUCCCGACCAAUGAGAGCGCGGGGCCGCAGCGAUCGCCAACUGCAGGACGCGGGCUAGCUGAGGGUGGAGCGGUUCACUGGUUCCCCUGGGCGGAGGAUGCGGAAGGCGCCGAAACUAGGAGGGGACCGGCCCUCCGCAACCCACCCGGACCCGGAACUGGUGCGCCGGACGAGGCCCGGCCCCUACAGAGCGAGCGGAACCUGCAUGGGGAAGCCGGCUCUGCCGCCCCUGUUGCUGAACACCUGCUAUCAGGACCAGGCGGGCAGCUUUUAGGUACCAAAAGAUGACAAGUGAAUAAGCCAUAAGGAUCCCUGCCUGCACUUCAUAGCUACCAGAGUAGUUGUGGGAAAGACCCGGG